AUUGAAUGCUGGCGGCAGGCCUAACACAUGCAAGUCGAACGAGUGGCGGACGGGUGAGUAAUGUCUGGGAAACUGCCUGAUGGAGGGGGAUAACUACUGGAAACGGUAGCUAAUACCGCAUACAAUCAGAUGUGCCUAGAUGGGUUUAGCUUGUUGGUGGGGUAACGGCUCACAAAGGCGACGAUCCCUAGCUGGUCGUAGAGGAUGACCAGCCACACUGGAACUUAGACACGGGCCAGAAUCCGACGGGAGGCAGCAGUGGGGAAUAGUUCACAAUGGGCGCAAGCCUGAUGCAGGCAUGCCGCGUGUAUGAAGAAGGCCUUCGGGUUGUAAAGUACUUUCAGCGGGGAGGCGUUACCCGCAGAAGAAGCACCGGCUAACUCCGUGCCAGCAGCCGCGGUAAUAC
rnacentral:rRNA from 1 species